rnacentral:rRNA from 1 species
CCUACGGGAGGCAGCAGUGAGGAAUAUUGGUCAAUGGGCGCGAGCCUGAACCAGCCAAGUCGCGUGAGGGAAGACGGUCCUAUGGAUUGUAAACCUCUUUUGUCGGGGAGCAAAAGACGCCACGCGUGGCGUUCCGAGAGUACCCGAAGAAAAAGCAUCGGCUAACUCCGUGCCAGCAGCCGCGGUAAUACGGAGGCUGCGAGCGUUAUCCGGAUUUGUUGGGGUAAAAGGGAGGGCAGGCGGAAGUUCAAGUCAGGGGUAAAAUUGAGGGGCCCAAGCUCUAAGAGCCGUUGAAACUGGUUAUCUGGAGUGUGCGAGAGGAUAGUGGAAUGCGUGGUGUAGGAGUGAAAUGCGUAGAUAUCACGAGGAACACCAGUGGCGAAGGC